GUUCUCUCCGAAAACUAUUUAGGUAGUGCCUCAUAUUUAACUCUUGGGGGUAGAGCACUGUUAUGGCUAGGGGGUCAUCCCGACUUACCAAACCAUUGCAAACUCCGAAUACCUGGAAGUGCAAUCAUGGCAGACACACUGCGGGUGAUAAGGUCCGUAGUGGAAAGGGAAACAGCCCUGACCGCCAGCUAAGGUCCCUAAGU
rnacentral:rRNA from 1 species